rnacentral:snRNA from 1 species
GUUCUUGCUUCGGCAAAACAUAUACUAAAAUUGGAACGAUACAGACAAGAUUAGCAGGCCCCCUGCACAAGGAUGACACGCACAAUCGUGAAGGGGGGGGGGACUUU